UACGUAGGGGGCUAGCGUUGUCCGGAAUCAUUGGGCGUAAAGCGCGUGUAGGCGGUCCGGUAAGUCCGCUGUGAAAGUCGGGGGCUCAACCCUCGGAUGCCGGUGGAUACUGUCGGGCUUGAGUACGGAAGAGGCGAGUGGAAUUCCUGGUGUAGCGGUGAAAUGCGCAGAUAUCAUUUGGAACGCCAAUGGUGAAAACAGGUAGCUGGGGCUGUGCUGACACUGAGACACGAAAGCCAGGGGAGCAAACGGG
rnacentral:rRNA from 1 species